AGAGAUGUUACAGAUACCAAUGAUGAAAAAGAUCACCAAAUUCUCCUACGACCAUCAAGCAUCUUGUCAUUGCAAAGAUUCUCCCAUUGAUAAAAGGAGGGCAGAGUUGUUCCUGCAAGGGAAAUUAGGCUUGGUGUCCACCAAUGGAGCGAUCUCCUCAGCUUCAUCCGUGUUGAUAGCAAUGUUGGUCCCGCGCAACUGGCAGUAUAGAACCAGCCGCCGGCACCGUUGUAGACCACGUCGUCGAAUGGUUUGAUUGGAGUGUGAGAGACAUCCAUCCGGCGGCUGUACAUUACCUAAUAAUUUCUCCAUCCAGGACGAUACCGCCACCUCAUCAGUGUAAUCUGACGCCGGCAUAGCUCGUCAGGGGUGGCGGGUCUGUGCCGUUCCGGCAGGCCAGGCCACAAGCAGCGUUGAAGUCAGCUUCCACUAUGCGAGGUUUGGCCCAAACACCACAAACGUCGCAACUGGGCCCAAGCAAUGGUAGAAUAGUCGAUCAAGCAGGCUCGGCGAGGUAAGAUGUCGCAAAAUUCUUUGUGCACUGCAUGCGGCGUAGAAAAUCCCACGUGUACCAUCUCAU
rnacentral:lncRNA from 1 species